rnacentral:rRNA from 1 species
AUACGUAGGGUGCAAGCGUUAAUCGGAAUUACUGGGCGUAAAGCGUGCGCAGGCGGUUUUGUAAGACAGUGGUGAAAUCCCCGGGCUCAACCUGGGAACCGCCAUUGUGACUGCAAGGCUGGAGUGCGGCAGAGGGGGAUGGGAUUCCGCGUGUAGCAGUGAAAUGCGUAGAUAUGCGGAGGAACACCGAUGGCGAAGGCAAUCCCCUGGGCCUGCACUGACGCUCAUGCACGAAAGCGUGGGGAGCAAACAAGAUUAGAUACCCUGGUAGUCCACGCCCUAAACGAUGUCAACUGGUUGUUGGGGAUUUAUUUUCUCAGUAACGAAGCUAACGCGUGAAGUUGACCGCCUGGGGAGUACGGCCGCAAGGUUAAAACUCAAAUGAAUUGGCGGGG